rnacentral:lncRNA from 1 species
GCUUUUGACUUCACGACAUUAGUUUUCCUCUUGUGGUGUGAUUAUAAAGCCUGUUUGUUAUCGGCCAUAGAAAUCAGAUUGCAUUAUUUUCUGGCUGAGAUCUUGUGUAUUUCAGAAAUUGCAGGAGUCCUGGGUGACCUCUCUGAUUCCAGCUGUUGUUCAGAUAUUGCAGAAGACCUGGACGACGUCUCUGAUUCCAGCUCUUGUUCAGAACAAGAAGACGGUGAGAAAUCUGAAGCGGUGUCUGAGGAGUCUCCGACCAAAAAAGGAGUCAAAGGGGUACCAAGAUCUGAUCAAUCAAGUGAUCCUGCACAGGUCCCUGCUAAAGAGAAAGCACGCCGUCGAAAGGAUGCAAAAAAGAGACGUCCAGGUAUAUAUUGCCAAUAAAAA